rnacentral:rRNA from 1 species
GACGAACGCUGGCGGCGUGCUUAACACAUGCCAGUCGAACGGAAAGGCCCUGCUUUUGUGGGGUGCUCGAGUGGCGAACGGGUGAGUAACACGUGAGUAACCUGCCCUUGACUUUGGGAUAACUUCAGGAAACUGGGGCUAAUACCGGAUAGGAGCUCCUGCUGCAUGGUGGGGGUUGGAAAGUUUCGGCGGUUGGGGAUGGACUCGCGGCUUAUCAGCUUGUUGGUGGGGUAGUGGCUUACCAAGGCUUUGACGGGUAGCCGGCCUGAGAGGGUGACCGGCCACAUGGGGACGGAGAUACGGCCCGGACCCCUCCGGGAGGAAGCGGGGGGGAAUAUUGCAAAAGGGGGGGAAGCCUGAUGCAGCAACGCCGGGUGGGGGAGGAGGGCCUUCGGGUUGUAAACCGCUUUCGCCGGGGACGAAGGGUGGGGGAGGGUAAUGGGGAAAGAAGCACCGGCAAACUACGG